rnacentral:lncRNA from 10 species
CGACGCCGCUGGUCGCGACCCGGGACAGGACAACGACAGGAACACCGCCGAGCCCGCGUUCCCCCCCCGCCCAGAGUCAUGGCGGCAGCAGCCGCUCUGAGGGCGCCUGCUCAGAGCAGUGUGACCUUUGAAGAUGUGGCUGUAAACUUUUCCCUGGAGGAAUGGAGUCUUCUUAAUGAGGCUCAGAGAUGCCUGUACCGUGACGUGAUGCUGGAGACCUUGACACUUAUAUCCUCCCUGGAGCAGUGUGACCUUUGAAGACGUGGCUGUAAACUUUUCCCUGGAGGAAUGGAGUCUUCUUAAUGAGGCUCAGGGAUGCCUGUACCAUGAUGUGAUGCUGGAGACCUUGACACUUAUAUCCUCCCUGGGUAAGGUACUCAUACUUAACUGUGACCUGAGUUAGUCUCUGCCCCUCCCCUUUAUUCCUCUUGGUAAUAACGUCUUUCUCACAUCAGGACUGUGGCACAGCUUCAUUCUCCAAUUCUCUGGAUCAGUUCUGUGGUUGGUAGUACUGAGAUACAUGUACUGCCCUCUCCUUUCCUUGAGCAGCCCCAGUCUGCUUUGUUGCAGGCUCCCAGGGAAAGAGUUAGGGUCAGGAGUCUUAAAGUCACCCUAAUGCAUCCCACCUUGGUUGUCUUCUGCCUUUCUGGGUGACUGUGCAGAUCUAAGACUUCUUUUUUUGAGACGGAGUCUCGCUCUGUCGCCCAGGCUGGAGUGCAGUGGCGCAGUCUCGGCUCACUGCAAGCUCUGCCUCCCGGGUUCAUGCCAUUCUCCUGCCUCAGCCUCCCGAGUAGCUGGGACUACAGGCGCCCGCCACCACGCCCGGCUAAUUUUUUGUAUUUUUAGUAGAGACGGGAUUUCACCGUGUUCACCAGGAUGGUCUCGAUCUCCUGACCUCGUGAUCCGCCCGCCUCGGCCUCCCAAAGUGCUGGGAUUACAGGCAUGAGCCGCCGCGCCCCGCCCCCAUUGCAUUUUUCAGCCUGCCUGUGUCCCUUGCCAGACUUAUGUGACUGCCAGUUAUCUUGCAAAAAGCAUUUCACCUUUACCACUUGGCAGGUACUCACAGUUUCAUCACUCCCCUACCUCAUUAUGAUCCAGACGUAACUUUUUCUUUCAUUCACCAGGGGGAUUUUUUAGUAUCCUCAGUACUCAUUCCAUUCUCAAUUCUUUGUGUCUGAUGAGGUAGGCCAAGGACCUGACUAAUUUUUGGUGCAGAGAACUCUUCUGGUGAUUUGAAAAGAUGGACUACCUUUUUCAGGGAUCUCUUGGAUCUCACAGGAUUCUUUUUUUUUUUUUUUAAGAUGGAGUCCCGCUCUGUCACCCAUACUGGAGUGCAGUGGCGCAAUCUCGGCUCACUGCAAGCUCCACCUCCCGGGUUCACACCAUUCUCCUGCCUCAGCCUCCCAAGUAGCUGGGACUACAGGUGCCCGCCACCACGCCCGGCUAAUUUUUUUUUUUUUUUUUUUUUUGUAUUUUCAGUAGAGAUGGGGUUUCACUGUGUUAGCCAGGAUGGUCUCGAUCUCCUGACCUCGUGAUCCACCUGCCUCAGCCUCCCAAA